rnacentral:rRNA from 1 species
CUACGGGAUGCAGCAGUGGGGAAUAUUGGACAAUGGGGGAAACCCUGAUCCAGCAAUGCCGCGUGUGUGAAGAAGGCCUGCGGGUUGUAAAGCACUUUCGGUUGGGAGGACUGCUUCUAGCACUAAUAUUGUUGGAAGUUGACGUUACCUUCAGAAGAAGCACCGGCUAACUCCGUGCCAGCAGCCGCGGUAAUACGUAGGGUGCAAGCGUUAAUCGGAAUUACUGGGCGGAGAGCGCGCGUAGGCGGCUAGAUCAGUCGGGUGUGAAAGCCCCGGGCUUAACCUGGGAACUGCAUCCGAUACUGUCUAGCUUGAGUACAGGAGAGGAGAGUGGAAUUCCACAUGUAGCGGUGAAAUGCGUAGAUAUGUGGAGGAACACCAAUGGCGAAGGCAGCUCUCUGGCCUGAUACUGACGCUGAGGUGCGAAAGCGUGGGGAGCAAACAGGAUUAGAUACCCGCGUAGUC